rnacentral:piRNA from 1 species
UGGCAGAUUGGCUCAAGCCCUGAAGCAC